AUGGAAGGACUCCUGCAUUGGAAUUUUUUCCCUGGCCUAGCCCUUGUAGAUCAGGUGAGAAGAAAGAAUGGUUCCACAGUGCACUUCUCCCCCUAUCAAGACUCUAAGGAGUUCUUCCUUGUGGUUACGUUUUCGUCGGCUUCCUUCCCACUCAACGAAGAAUCGAUGGGUAUUGCUCUCCAAUGUUGCAUUGGGAGUUUUAGUGUUGGCUUCAAAGUGCUUAAGAUUAACCCCCGAGCUUUUCGCUUCUCGGUUGCCAACAACAAGGUGGGACAUUUCAUCUACGGUCUUAAGGACCGCAUUUGGACGGAUUUCAUUUGCCAUUUUCAUCUGUUCAACGGCCGUUUCAAUCUUGUUCCCUCGUCUACUUUGAGUUGGCAUGCGGAUGAAGAAUUAUUGGAGAUAACUGCAAGACAUCCCCUGGCUAUUAAAUCGGAUUUGGGGUUUCUGAAAUCUCAGUGA
rnacentral:rRNA from 1 species